UCAGUUCAAUUCUCGCUUUACAAAGAAGCACAUGACAUUUCAGUUAUAUAUACAUAUACACAAACAUAAUCGAAGAGCGGUAUCGCUCUCUUGCUCCACUUAGGAGAACUCAAACAGAACAGUAUUGAUCGCAAUUUUAAAGAAACCGGAUUCACAGUGGCUGAUUGUCUUAAUUGCAAGGGUUGCUUUCAGGGAAUGAAACGACGUUUCAGUUGAUGUUCAUAACCUUUCAUAACCAAAUUGCUCAAUUCUUUGUCGUAACACUUAUUCGUUCACUUAUUUGUUUACACAAGUUUGCUCCAAAACUUAUAACAAUAUUAAUACUUCUCCCUUAAAGAGGGGCAUAGUGGUAGGAGAAAGGAAGGUAUGGUCAUUGCCAUAUGCAGACGAUAUUGUGCUAUAGGCGGAUAGAGAGGAGGAGCUAAAGGAAAUGCUAAGGAGAUUCGAAAAAUUUUUAAAAGAAACCGAAUUGGAUCAGAGCACGGAAAAGACCAAGAUAGUAGUUUCCGAAAAAAGAAAGAACAAGAGGAGACAAAAAAAAUGGAAAUGGGGAGAGAGAGAAUUAGAGGAAGUAGACGAGAUAUGAUACCUAGGGUACAUAGUACAGAAAAACGGCAGUGGUGAGAAACACAUACAAGACAGAUAAAAGAGAGCAACAACAACAAUGAAGAAAACAUGGAGCGUGGGAGAAAAAAUUUUCAAACAGGACUACAAGAGGAAAAUGAAAAUGUUUGGAGCACUGGUAGAGAGCGUGGCGCUGUUUGGAGCACUGGUAGAGAGCGUGGCGCUGUUUGAAGCAGAGAUAUGGGGCUCGAACAUGGAAGAAAGGCUGCAUAGAAUACAAAGAAGAUAUGUGAAAUGGAUCUUAGGUUUAGAUAUAACAACACUGAAUUAUAUAUUGAUAGAAAAAUGCAAGCUAACAGAAAUCAAAGAAAAAGCAUUAAGAAGAGCAGCAAAGUAUGAUGGGAAAGCCAUAGAGUCAAAAAAUAAUAAUGAUAAUAAUAUAUAAUGAUAAAAAAAUAAUAAUAUGAUUAAAUAUGUAUUGGUAUCACUUAUCUUUAUGUACUGUGAAAUCGUAAUUCUUUAUUUGCUUAUGUGUUACGAUUUAAAAUUGCCGCCGAAAAAUACGCGGGAAAAUAUAACAGAUUCCACAGGAUGUAUAGCAAAGAUUAAAUUUAAAACUAUCAAUAUAUAAUAAUUACAAUAUUGCUAAUUAUUAUAUAUUUGUAAUUGUAAAUAUUCCAAAAUAAAAUAUUCCUAAUUAUAGAUUCUGAAUUUCCUGAUCCUAAUGAAGAAUUUAAUUUAGUUCACGAACAAGUAUAUAAAAGUUUUAAAAGAAAUUGGAGGCAAUAUGAAUUAUAACCUCGUUGCGAUGAACUCGUAUAUUUAUAUAAAUGAUUCAACAAUUUAUUUACCAAAAAUAAAAAAUUUUGUUUAGUAGUUGAAUGCAUUAAUAAAUGAAAUACUUGUUGAAAUUUUGUUAUGUAAUAUUUUUGUUUAUUAAUGUAAUCAGAAGAAGUUAUUUAAAAUCAUAAAAUUAAUAAGUGAAUGUAAUUACGAGUUUAGAUUACUUUUAGAACUUGAAAAGAAUAAAAUAGUAGGGUCUCAAUAAACUGAGAAUUUGCAAGAAAAACAGAAAGAAAAAAAUAAAUAAAAUACUUUGACACUAUA